CUACGGGACGCAGCAGUGGGGAAUAUUGGACAAUGGGCGGAAGCCUGAUCCAGCAAUACCGCGUGUGUGAAGAAGGCCCGAGGGUUGUAAAGCACUUUCAAUGGGGAGGAAAAAGCGAAGGUUAAUACCCUUUGAAUUGACAUUACCCAUACAAGAAGCACCGGCUAACUCCGUGCCAGCAGCCGGCGGUAAUACGGAGGGUGCGAGCGUUAAUCGGAAUUACUGGGCGUAAAGCGUGCGUAGGCGGCCUGCCAAGCCAGAUGUGAAAGCCCCGGGCUCAACCUGGGAACGGCAUCCGAUACUGUCUAGCUUGAGUACAGGAGAGGAGAGUGGAAUUCCACAUGUAGCGGUGAAAUGCGUAGAUAUGUGGAGGAACACCAAUGGCGAAGGCAGCUCUCUGGCCUGAUACUGACGCUGAGGUGCGAAAGCGUGGGGAGCAAACAGGAUUAGAUACCCCUGUAGUC
rnacentral:rRNA from 1 species